UAACGGUCCUAAGGUAGCGAAAUUCCUUGUCGGGUAAGUUCCGACCUGCACGAAUGGCGUAAUGAUGGCCAGGCUGUCUCCACCCGAGACUCAGUGAAAUUGAACUCGCUGUGAAGAUGCAGUGUACCCGCGGCAAGACGGAAAGACCCCGUGAACCUUUACUAUAGCUUGACACUGAACAUUGAGCCUUGAUGUGUAGGAUAGGUGGGAGGCUUUGAAGUGUGGACGCCAGUCUGCAUGGAGCCGACCUUGAAAUACCACCCUUUAAUGUUUGAUGUUCUAACGUGGACCCGUGAUCCGGGUUGCGGACAGUGUCUGGUGGGUAGUUUGACUGGGGCGGUCUCCUCCUAAAGAGUAACGGAGGAGCACGAAGGUUGGCUAAUCCUGGUCGGACAUCAGGAGGUUAGUGCAAUGGCAUAAGCCAGCUUGACUGCGAGCGUGACGGCGCGAGCAGGUGCGAAAGCAGGUCAUAGUGAUCCGGUGGUUCUGAAUGGAAGGGCCAUCGCUCAACGGAUAAAAGGUACUCCGGGGAUAACAGGCUGAUACCGCCCAAGAGUUCAUAUCGACGGCGGUGUUUGGCACCUCGAUGUCGGCUCAUCACAUCCUGGGGCUGAAGUAGGUCCCAAGGGUAUGGCUGUUCGCCAUUUAAAGUGGUACGCGAGCUGGGUUUAGAACGUCGUGAGACAGUUCGGUCCCUAUCUGCCGUGGGCGCUGGAGAACUGAGGGGGGCUGCUCCUAGUACGAGAGGACCGGAGUGGACGCAUCACUGGUGUUCGGGUUGUCAUGCCAAUGGCACUGCCCGGUAGCUAAAUGCGGAAGAGAUAAGUGCUGAAAGCAUCUAAGCACGAAACUUGCCCCGAGAUGAGUUCUCCCUGACCCUUUAAGGGUCCUGAAGGAACGUUGAAGACGACGACGUUGAUAGGCCGGGUGUGUAAGCGCAGCGAUGCGUUGAGCUAACCGGUACUAAUGAACCGUGAGGCUUAACCUUACAACGCCGAAG
rnacentral:rRNA from 1 species